UUGGAGGGCAAGUCUGGUGCCAGCAGCCGCGGUAAUUCCAGCUCCAAUAGCGUAUAUUAAAGUUGUUGCAGUUAAAAGCUCGUAGUUGAAUUUCGGGAUCAUCAGGUUGGUCGUGCCUCUGGUAUGUACUUUCCUCGAUGGUUCCUCCUUCUUGAAGAUCCGUAAUGUCAUUAAUUUGGUGUUGCGGGGAAUCAGGACUGUUACUUUGAAAAAUUGAGUGUUUAAAGCAGGCAAUCGCUUGAAUACAUUAGCAUGGAAUAAUGAAAUAGGACGUUCGAUCCUAUUUUGUUGGUUUCUAGGAUUGACGUAAUGAUUAAUAGGGAUAGUUGGGGGCAUUAGUAUUCAAUUGUCAGAGGUGAAAUUCUUGGAUUUAUUGAAGACUAACUACUGCGAAAGCAUUUGCCAAGGAUGUUUUCAUUAAUCAAGAACGAAAGUUAGGGGAUCGAAGACGAUCAGAUACCGUCGUAGUCUUAACCAUAAACUAUGCCGACUAGGGAUCGGAUGAUGUAAUUUUAAUGACUCAUUCGGC
rnacentral:rRNA from 1 species